rnacentral:rRNA from 1 species
AUUGAACGCUGGCGGCAGGCCUAACACAUGCAAGUCGAACGAGUGGCGGACGGGUGAGUAAUGUCUGGGACACUGCCCGAUGGAGGGGGAUAACUACUGGAAACGGUAGCUAAUACCGCAUACCCUCGGCUGUGCCCAGAUGUGCUGAGCUAGUAGGUGGGGUAACGGCUCACCUAGGCGACGAUCCCUAGCUGGUCUGAGAGGAUGACCAGCCACAUGGUAAUUGAGACACGGUCCAGACGCCUACGGGAGGCAACAGUGGGUAAUAUUGAGAGAUGGGGGCGAGGCUGAUGCAGCCAUGCCGCGUGUAUGAUGAUGGCCUUCGGGUUGUAGAUUACUGUCAUGGAGGUGACGUUACGCUUACAAGAAGCAUCGGCUAACUACGUGCCAGCAGCCUCGGUAAUAC